rnacentral:rRNA from 1 species
UACGGGGGGGGGCAAGCGUUGUUCGGAAUUACUGGGCGUAAAGGGCUCGUAGGCGGCCAACUAAGUCAGACGUGAAAUCCUUCGGCUUAACCGGGGAACUGCGUCUGAUACUGGAUGGCUUGAAUCCGGGAGAGGGAUGCGGAAUUCCAGGUGUAGCGGUGAAAUGCGUAGAUAUCUGGAGGAACACCGGUGGCGAAGGCGGCAUCCUGGACCGGCAUUGACGCUGAGGAGCGAAAGCCAGGGGAGCAAACGGG